UACGUAGGUGGCAAGCGUUGUCUGGAUUUACUGGGCGUAAAGGGAGCGUAGGCGGACUUUUAAGUGAGAUGUGAAAUACCCGGGCUCAACUUGGGUGCUGCAUUUCAAACUGGAAGUCUAGAGUGCAGGAGAGGAGAAUGGAAUUCCUAGUGUAGCGGUGAAAUGCGUAGAGAUUAGGAAGAACACCAGUGGCGAAGGCGAUUCUCUGGACUGUAACUGACGCUGAGGCUCGAAAGCGUGGGGAGCAAACAGGAUUAGAUA
rnacentral:rRNA from 1 species